rnacentral:rRNA from 1 species
AGGUAGUUGGUGAGGUAACGGCCCACCAAGCCGACGAUCGGUAGCCGACCUGAGAGGGUGAUCGGCCACAUUGGGACUGAGACACGGCCCAAACUCCUACGGGAGGCAGCAGUGGGAAUAUUGGGCAAUGGAGGAAACUCUGACCCAGCAACGCCGCGUGGAGGAAGAAGGUUUUCGGAUCGUAAACUCCUGUCCUUGGAGACGAGUAGAAGACGGUAUCCAAGGAGGAAGCCCCGGCUAACUACGUGCCAGCAGCCGCGGUAAUACGUAGGGGGCAAGCGUUGUCCGGAAUAAUUGGGCGUAAAGGGCGCGUAGGCGGCUCGGUAAGUCUGGAGUGAAAGUCCUGCUUUUAAGGUGGGAAUUGCUUUGGAUACUGUCGGGCUUGAGUGCAGGAGAGGUUAGUGGAAUUCCCAGUGUAGCGGUGAAAUGCGUAGAGAUUGGGAGGAACACCAGUGGCGAAGGCGACUAACUGGACUGUAACUGACGCUGAGGCGCGAAAGUGUGGGGAGCAAACAGGAUUAGAUACCCUGGUAGUCCACACUGUAAACGAUGAAUGCUAGGUGUAGGGGGUAUCGACCCCUUCUGUGCCGCAGUCAACACAAUAAGCAUUCCGCCUGGGGAGUACGGCCGCAAGGUUGAAACUCAAAGGAAUUGACGGGGGCCCGCACAAGCAGCGGAGCAUGUGGUUUAAUUCGACACAACGCGAAGAACCUUACCAGGUCUUGACAUCCACUUAAACUUACAGAGAUGUAAGGUGUGCUUGCACAAAGUGAGACAGGUGGUGCAUGGUUGUCGUCAGCUCGUGUCGUGAGAUGUUGGGUUAAGUCCCGCAACGAGCGCAACCCUUAUCUUCAGUUACUAACGCGUAGAGGUGAGGACUCUGAAGAGACUGCCGGGGACAACUCGGAGGAAGGUGGGGACGUCGUCAAAUCAUCAUGCCCCUUAUGACCUGGGCUACACACGUGCUACAAUGGCCACGACAGAGAGAAGCGAAAUCGCAAGGUAGAGCGGAACUCAAAAAAGUGGUCCCAGUUCGGAUUGUGGGCUGCAACCCGCCCACAUGAAGUCGGAGUUGCUAGUAAUCGCGGAUCAGCAUGCCGCGGUGAAUACGUUCCCGGGCCUUGUACACACCGCCCGUCACACCAUGGGAGUUGGGAGUGCCCAAAGCCGGUGAGGCAACCGCAAGGAGCCAGCCGUCUAAGGCAAGACCAAUGACUGGGGUGAAGUCGAAACAAGGUAGCCGUAUCGGAAGGUGCGGCUG